GGGCUGGGUAGGAGAGAGGAAGCCCCGCUCGGCGCCGUCUAUGUGCUUCUGCAGUUUGGGAAGGACCGGGUUUUCCCGGGAAGGAGCCCGGCUCAGCUGUGUCGACCCUGGGACGUCUCCUUUCCCUUUCCUUCUAGAAGAAACAGCGUGUCCGAGCCUCCCGUAGGGAAAGGCGCUCGUCACCCUUGGUUCGUGGUGACUUUAAAGUACGUAAGUAAAGCCAGCGCGCCAAGGCGGGCCGGUUAGCUCAGUUGGUUAGAGCGUGGUGCUAAUAACGCCAAGGUCGCGGGUUCGAUCCCCGUACGGGCCAAGCUGUGUGCUGUUUUUCCUUUUGCGGUUACCCCGUCACGUGGAAUCUGCAGCCCUACAGCCGGUUACGGAGAGUUCUACGCCGCCACUGCCGAGCGGUGCUUCUGGAAGCCUUGUUUUUGUGAAAGAAGCAAUGGCGCCCGAGAGUCCGGCUGGAAGGGCUUGUAAAGGAACGGAGGGAGGGAACGCGGGGCGGUAGGGACGGUCACAGGGCCUGCGCCCCUCGGGAGAGCCUGCCCUGCGGCAGUCCGGGCUUCCGGAGGCGCUCGCCGCCGCGGCUGCUCCCUCCGUCCGGAGUGGGGGCCGCCCCGGACCCCCGGAAAGAGCAGGAGCUCGGGUCAAGGCCGCGCACGCUCGGCGGGCGCGCGGGAAGCCUCGGGCCGCCUCGGGUCCUAGCGCCCGCCCGGUCCUUUUCCGGAGGUCCUGCCCCGGGUCCCAGCGCCCGCCGAUCUUUCCCGGAGUUCUUUCCACCUGCUUCUCCAGGCCGCUGGCUCUGCCCCGCUGGCCGCCCACGUGCUCUGCGCUUCCUCCUGUUGCUGAGUUCCGGGCAGCCACGAAAGUGACAUGAGCCAUACUGAUUAAAUAGUAACGUAAGCAGUGCCUGGAGCGUGGGGCCGGGGACGUUAGGAGAUGCUCAGUGAAUCCCAGAAAGCGGGGCUUCGUCUGUGUGGUCGGUGCUGCAUCCUCUAGGUCAAGAACAGUGCCGGGCUCAAAGCUAAAGGGUGAAAAACCUAUUUUAAAAAACUAACAAGGACUAUUCAGUACUUCAUUGUAUGUGAAAUACCGCACCCACAGAUGUGAAGUACGAGGCCGAUGCUGACCUGGGCGGACCUGCGCUCGCCCACAGCCUGCGAGGAGACUCAGCCCCGCGCCCACAGCACGGAGCCCGGCCCUUCUAUCCCUUCCUGCGAGCCCGAUGAGCCUCCCGGUUUCCGUCUGGCUCGGAUAAGGUAAUACCUUCUCGUAUCAGUAACUACAUGGGCUGCUUCUCGGGUCACUCUGCCACCUGUCACCACUGUCUCCCCUGUGGAAGGAAGUGCUACCCUCACUUUCUUGUAUAUUCUUCUCUAUGCGUGCCGCUCGCUGUAAAUAUGAAUAUGCAUUUCUCUCAGUGUGGCAUAAAGUGUUACAUUGUGCGCACUGUUUCUCAUCCUGCUUUUUCCUACUCUCUGUGUCUUGGAGCAUCUACACAGAGCCGGCACAUGGCACAGCCACUGUUAUACGCUAUUAGGACACAGCCUAUUUUCAGUCGAGUUGGUCCAGCUGGCCAGAAGCUGAAUGAGAACUUUUCAAUCCAUUUCCCCCCUGAGUCGGGAGGUACACAAGCAGGGCUGGAGAGAGGACGGGAAGAGGACACCUUUCUUCCAUUUUCUGUGAUAAUGUGGAUAAAACACUUUCUGUGCGAAACCGUAGGAUAGAGCUCCAAAGCACACCGUUGAUCGAAGGAAAUUUUGUAUAGAUGUGUUCAAAGGUAAUUUUUUCAGGAAAAGGUCAAACGAUGAGUCAGAUAGAUGUGCAAAUGAGCAUGUUGCUAGACAAUAGGAUAUUUUCAACUGUUUCAGUUCACAAAAGUGAAGUCUACUAAACUGUUACAACUCCUAGCAUAGAUGCUUAAGAGGAAAGAGAAAGGGCUUCUUUGUAGAUCUAGAAGGUAGAAUCCUAUAGCAGCUUGCACACUAUUCCAAACAAAGACUAAGUCAUCCCUCAGUCAGUCCUAUGUAAUUCUUGUUGCACCAGAUCUUGAGUUAACAGGGUGUCAGGGUAAAUGACAAUGUUUUUCUCUGUUUCUGUAGGGAAAAGUGCCCUUGUCUCCCCUCCCUGUCCUAUGCAGGGUCUCCGUGGACACCUAGUCAAUCUGAGUCCUUACUGGAAUCUUCAGAAUAGAGAUAGAUAUCUCUAUGGAUUAAGUUCAGUCUUCAGUGUUUACAGUGUAGAGUAUCUCUAAGGCUAUGGGCCAGAUAGCCUCUAGAUAGGUAAAAAUGUGCCUCCAGGAUCAGCUCAGGGGUCCGUCAUGAGAUUUCCGGGAGACCGUCAUAGGGUGCAGCCACUGGCUUCUCAAGGAGAUACAGAGAAGUUCCUAUUCUUUCUUCAGCUUUACUAUAAACAAGGAGUGAGAUUCGGACAUGAUUUUGUUGUCACUUUGGUGCUGCCAUGUACAUAACGCGAACACUUAGUAAAGUGUGUUCUCUCUCUUCUCUGAUCAGGAAGCAUCUUUCUGCUGGCCGAGUCCCUUCAUCGCCCGAGCACAGUUUCCAGAACUCAGGGGGCUUCUGGAACAGAAUUCUGGAACUCCAGGCUCGGUAGGAUGGUUAUGGGCGCAACGUUGUUGAAGCCACGCCAUCCGGAGUCUAUAACCAAGCAUAUCUGGUGGCGUGGUCUUCUCCUGUGAGGCUUUGAAGACUUGUGCUUUGUUGAAGAUAAAGCUGGCCUGUGGCUGAUUGCAGAUGCUUUCAGGGAAGUGAAGUAAAACAGAAUGACUGUGUAUAGAUGUCAGAAGAUUUAAAGGGGCCGUAAUUAAUUUAUUACUUAACGAUUUUCAAAAGCAAGAGAUCUGGUGAGAAUUCAUAACGAGGAGACUGCCACUAAGGAGUUUUGGUUGUUUCUGUGAUACAAAAACGAGAUGAGAAAGCCAAUCCAAAAUAAGUUUUAGACAAAAUAGCUACCGACAUAGCGAUCUACCCUAUUUUCAAAGGAGAUAGAAAACACUGCAUGGGAUUUAUAGCAGUGGAUGAACGUAAUUCCCACAGAGAAAAAGUCUUGAAACAGACAUAUAAUAAUCCUGAGACCUAAUAUGCUGCAAAUAUACAAGUCACACAGUAAGAAUAAUAUAUCAACAAUAUGAGACAGUUGUGGUAAGUCUGGAGUAAGUUCUACAUAUUUAUACAUUAAUUAGACUCCAUAGGCAAGUGAUGUAAAUCCCAUUUGAAAUUCAGAAGCCCAGAAGAUGCUAGAGUCCAAUUAAAGAAGUAAAGUGGCGACCAAGUAAACGUUUAAAAAAAUAGCUAAAAUUAUGACUGAUGACACUUCACUACUGUUGUCUAAUAUCAGAGAAAACAGCACCAGGACUUUCUAUGUUGGUGGAAACAUGUCAUGGGCAGUAAGAGCACUGAUAAGUCUCCAGGAAUUUCCCAUUCGGUGUACAGUUUCUGAAAUAUUUAUAUUAACGUUGUAGCCAUGCAAAUCUGACUUAGAGAAGCCUAGGCCUUUCUCCUCCUCCUCCUCCUCCUCCUCCUCCUCCUCCUCCUCCUUUUCCUCCUCCCCCUCCCCCUCCUUCUGGCAUCCCUUCUGAUUUUCACCUCUUCCUGUGCAACUCAUCAAUAAUAGCACAUCAAAUAGCCCUGGUUGUCUUCACUAUCUGCCUUUUUGCAAGGGGACAGAACGCAUCGUUAGGAUUUUCCAGGCACCUUCGGGGAAGUCUCAACCACAGGUGUAGGUGGAAACAGUACCUUGAAAGUUUUAGUUGACAUUUAGGAUUCGAUUGGGGGAAGGCAAAGGUUAAAACCGAUCAGAACAUUUGAACACUUACGAGAGGAAACAAACCAUGAUUGCUGGAGAACUUAGGUGGUUAUUGGGUUCAAAGUUACAAUAAAACAGUUAAAACUAAGCACAGAAGGUAACAUGACUGUAAACGACAUUAUUCCUAUGUAAGAAACCUUUGUUUUCUUCAGGAAGGACGACACAAUCAAUGUAAACUAUAAAGCUUAUUCUGCUAAAAAACAGAAUAUUUGCUGUCGGAGAAGGUUACACAGGGGAAACAGAAAGAACCGGUCAUAUUAUGGGUGAGGGCACCGAGCAGUUAACCAAAGGAACAAACACAUCAAAGUGAAGCAAACCUUCCCAGAUUUUGGUAUAUUCCGUGGCUCUUCAAACUCAGGUAUUCUAAAUGGGGAUAAAUAAAAUUAACCUGCCAAUUUUGCCCAUCAUUAUGUUCUUCCACACCCUGGGACAAUCUGACACUGUCCUGGCUUCAGGAGUCCACGAGGUUGGAACCGAUUUCACACCAUUGCUGAGAUGUUACCAACAUGGAUUGUGUCCGACUGUGCGAUCUCCAAAUGCGCUAAGAAGUACGAUUUUUUAAACUGCGUGUUGGGAUUGUUUGUAAUGGAACAAGCAUUUCCAGUCAAGUUCGUAUUUUAGAUACUUAAACCUUCAAGAUGUAGUUUAUUCAAUUGUUUACAGUGUUUUUCAACUGCAGCUUUCCAGCGUAAAGGGCCCGUGAAAUCCCAGGCUUCUGACCUCCCUCCCAGGGGAACCGACUGGAACGCUGAAGAACGAAACAAGAAACAGGAGGCUCUCGCGAUCUAACUGAUCCUCAGCGUGAGAAGUGUUCUGCCCGUUCCAGAAUGUACAUGUUAGGUAAACGAACAAACAGAUCCUUAAAAGCCAUAGUUCAGGAUUUGAUUCACAAAUCUGUUUAAAAACCAAGGCCGCUGCGGGUAAACGGUCAGAUAUUCUUAUUUCCAAAUAUUUUUCCUUUCGUUUGAGGCCUUUUUGUUUGUUUAUUUUGAUCUGACUGUCUUGCUUUCUCGGAUCUGUUCUAAUUGUUAUCUCUCUAAGAUUUCCUGUCCUCUAUAAAAAAAAAUCUUCACUGAAUCUGUU
rnacentral:tRNA from 1 species